rnacentral:rRNA from 1 species
GACGAACGCUGGCGGCGUGCUUAACACAUGCAAGUCGAACGGAAAGGCCCAGCUUGCUGGGUGCUCGAGUGGCGAACGGGUGAGUAACACGUGGGUGAUCUGCCCCUAACUUCGGGAUAAGCUUGGGAAACUGGGUCUAAUACCGGAUAGGACACUCGCUGAGUGUCGGUUGUGGAAAGUUUUUGCGGUUAGGGAUGAGCCCGCGGCCUAUCAGCUUGUUGGUGGGGUAAUGGCCUACCAAGGCGUCGACGGGUAGCCGGCCUGGGAGGGUGGACGGCCACAUUGGGACUGAGAUACGGCGCAGACUCCUACGGGAGGCAGCAGUGGGGAAUAUUGCACAAUGGGCGCAAGCCUGAUGCAGUGACGCCGCGUGGGGGAUGACGGCCUUCGGGUUGUAAACCUCUUUCGACAGGGACGAAGCUUUGGUGACGGUACCUGUAUAAGAAGCACCGGCUAACUACGUGCCAGCCGCCGCCGUAA